rnacentral:rRNA from 1 species
GUAGGUGGCAAGCGUUGUCCGGAAUUAUUGGGGCGUAAAGCGCGCGCAGGCGGUUCUUUAAGUCUGAUGUGAAAGCCCACGGGCUCAACCGUGGAGGGUCAUUGGAAACUGGAGAACUUGAGUACAGAAGAGGAAAGCGGAAUUCCACGUGUAGCGGUGAAAUGCGUAGAGAUGUGGAGGAACACCAGUGGCGAAGGCGGCUUUCUGGUCUGUAACUGACGCUGAGGCGCGAAAGCGUGGGGAGCAAACAGGAUUAGAUACCCUGGUAGUCCACGCCGUAAACGAUGAGUGCUAAGUGUUAGGGGGGUUCCGCCCCUUAGUGCUGCAGCUAACGCAUUAAGCACUCCGCCUGGGGAGUACGGCCGCAAAGGCUG